rnacentral:lncRNA from 1 species
AGGACGAAGCGAGUGCGGACUCCCUGGUAGUGCGGUUCCAACCUCCCGCGAGGGACUGGGCCACGAACGGGAGGCGAAGCCCGUGUGUGCGUGUGAAGGCACUCUGGAAGAUGGGACAGAAGAAGAGCAAGUCUUCUGGUCCCAUGGGUGGGUCAGAACCUAAGGUUAGGUUGCCCCCGAUACCAUCGGAAAGCACGUUAGGGUUAAUGAUUAAACAUUGGAAUGAUUACCCCUCUAGGCGGGGUAAGGACAAAGUUAAGAUGAUACAUUAUUGGCCAGUGUUUGGAUCCCUUGAGGAUUGGACCUGUCAGGCUCUAAAUAUUUAUGUGAAUUCGAAGGAGCCUUUCAGCCUAGGGGAGAGUGAGUAUGCACACUUACGGAUAGAAUCUGAGACCCGAGCCAACUUGUACCCGUUAAGAGAAAAAGGGGGGAGGAAAAGGAAUGAACGAAAUGAGGAGGAAGUCCCGCUUUCACCCCCCCCUUAUUUGUCCCGUUCUCUACCUCCAGCUCCCCCUACGGCUCCGAAUUACCAUACUGAUUCCGAUUUGACCACGGACACCCCUCGGAGUACUAGACGGGUAACUCGGAGCCAAACUAGAAAUCGAGAAGACGGGGGUAAACUAUAUCCCCUAAGAGAGGUUGCAACGGGAGGGCCCCAACCCAGCAUGGGAUACGCCUCCAUCCCCCUAAAUAUGGGAGACGACAGAGAAUUCAAGAAGGAAAUGGGAAAUCUAUUAGAAGAUCCUCUUGGAGUCUCUGAGCGAGUAGACCAGUUCUUGGGGCCUAAUGGUUACAGCUGGGAAGACCUCCAGGACAUUUUAGGUAUAUUAUUCACUGCAGAAGAGAGGAACAUGAUCCGGAGGGCUGGAAUGCGAAUAUGGGACCAGCAACACCAGCAGGGUCCUGCGGGAGACCUUAAAUGGCCCCUACAGAGGCCUAACUGGAAUAACCAAAAUGAACAAGAUAGGGUUCAUAUGCAGGAUUUAAGGACUAUUAUUGUACAAGGUAUAAGNNNNNNNNNNNNNNNNNNNNNNNNNNNNNNNN